rnacentral:rRNA from 1 species
CUCCUACGGGAGGCAGCAGUGGGGAAUAUUGCACAAUGGGCGCAAGCCUGAUGCAGCGACGCCGCGUGGGGGAUGACGGCCUUCGGGUUGUAAACCUCUUUCACCAUCGACGAAGGUCCGGGUUCUCUCGGAUUGACGGUAGGUGGAGAAGAAGCACCGGCCAACUACGUGCCAGCAGCCGCGGUAAUACGUAGGGUGCGAGCGUUGUCCGGAAUUACUGGGCGUAAAGAGCUCGUAGGUGGUUUGUCGCGUUGUUCGUGAAAUCUCACGGCUUAACUGUGAGCGUGCGGGCGAUACGGGCAGACUAGAGUACUGCAGGGGAGACUGGAAUUCCUGGUGUAGCGGUGGAAUGCGCAGAUAUCAGGAGGAACACCGGUGGCGAAGGCGGGUCUCUGGGCAGUAACUGACGCUGAGGAGCGAAAGCGUGGGGAGCGAACAGGAUUAGAUACCCUGGUAGUCCACGCCGUAAACGGUGGGUACUAGGUGUGGGUUUCCUUCCUUGGGAUCCGUGCCGUAGCUAACGCAUUAAGUACCCCGCCUGGGGAGUACGGCCGCAAGGCUAAAACUCAAAGGAAUUGACGGGGGCCCGCACAAGCGGCGGAGCAUGUGGAUUAAUUCGAUGCAACGCGAAGAAUUU